UUCGGAGGUUCGAAUCCUUCCGUCCCAG
rnacentral:tRNA from 1 species